GUGCACGCUGGCGGUAGGCCUAACACAUGCCAGUCGCACUGCAGCACAGUAAGAGCUUGCUCUUACGGGUGGCGAGUGGCGGACGGGUGAGGAAUACAUCGGAAUCUACUUUUUCGUGGGGGAUAACGUAGGGAAACUUACGCUAAUACCGCAUACGACCUACGGGUGAAAGCAGGGGAUCUUCGGACCUUGCGCGAUUGAAUGAGCCGAUGUCGGAUUAGCUAGUUGGCGGGGUAAAGGCCCACCAAGGCGACGAUCCGUAGCUGGUCUGAGAGGAUGAUCAGCCACACUGGAACUGAGACACGGUCCAGACUCCUACGGGAGGCAGCAGUGGGGAAUAUUGGACAAUGGGCGCAAGCCUGAUCCAGCCAUACCGCGUGGGUGAAGAAGGCCUUCGGGUUGUAAAGCCCUUUUGUUGGGAAAGAAAAGCAGCAGGUUAAUACCCCGCUGUUCUGACGGUACCCAAAGAAUAAGCACCGGCUAACUUCGUG
rnacentral:rRNA from 1 species